rnacentral:ncRNA from 1 species
AUACAGGGGUGCUAUAAUGGCUGAGAGUAGUCUUUUGACUUAACCCGUUUAACCUGAUACGGAUAAUGCCGGCGAAGGGAGUAUUUUUUU